CAGUCGAACGAAACUUCUUUAUCACCGAGUGCUUGCACUCACCGAUAAAGAGUUGAUUGGCGAACGGGUGAGUAACACGUAGGCAACCUGCCCAAAAGAGGGGGAUAACACUUGGAAACAGGUGCUAAUACCGCAUAACCAUAGUUACCGCAUGGUAACUAUGUAAAAGGUGGCUAUGCUACCGCUUUUGGAUGGGCCCGCGGCGCAUUAGCUAGUUGGUGGGGUAAAGGCUUACCAAGGCAAUGAUGCGUAGCCGAACUGAGAGGUUGAUCGGCCACAUUGGGACUGAGACACGGCCCAAACUCCUACGGGAGGCAGCAGUAGGGAAUCUUCCACAAUGGGCGAAAGCCUGAUGGAGCAACGCCGCGUGGGUGAAGAAGGUCUUCGGAUCGUAAAACCCUGUUGUUAGAGAAGAAAGUGCGUGAGAGUAACUGUUCACGUUUCGACGGUAUCUAACCAGAAAGCCACGGCUAACUACGUGCCAGCAGCCGCGGUAAUACGUAGGUGGCAAGCGUUAUCCGGAUUUAUUGGGCGUAAAGGGAACGCAGGCGGUCUUUUAAGUCUGAUGUGAAAGCCUUCGGCUUAACCGGAGUAGUGCAUUGGAAACUGGGAGACUUGAGUGCAGAAGAGGAGAGUGGAACUCCAUGUGUAGCGGUGAAAUGCGUAGAUAUAUGGAAGAACACCAGUGGCGAAAGCGGCUCUCUGGUCUGUAACUGACGCUGAGGUUCGAAAGCGUGGGUAGCAAACAGGAUUAGAUACCCUGGUAGUCCACGCCGUAAACGAUGAAUGCUAAGUGUUGGAG
rnacentral:rRNA from 1 species